UUGACUAUACUUUCAGGAAUCAUUUCUGUAGUAUUCAACUAGAGAAAUGCACUCAAACAUUGGAGGCUUUCAAGAAGAGAUGGGACUGCCAUCUGUCAGA
ensembl:snoRNA U3 Small nucleolar RNA U3